rnacentral:rRNA from 1 species
AUUGAACGCUGGCGGCAUGCUUUACACAUGCAAGUCGAACGGUAACAGGCCUUCGGGUGCUGACGAGUGGCGAACGGGUGAGUAAUGCAUCGGAACGUGCCCAAUCGUGGGGGAUAACGUAGCGAAAGUUACGCUAAUACCGCAUAAGCCCUGAGGGGGAAAGUGGGGGACCGCAAGGCCUCACGCGAAUGGAGCGGCCGAUGUCAGAUUAGCUAGUUGGUGGGGUAAAGGCCCACCAAGGCGACGAUCUGUAGCGGGUCUGAGAGGAUGAUCCGCCACACUGGGACUGAGACACGGCCCAGACUCCUACGGGAGGCAGCAGUGGGGAAUUUUGGACAAUGGGCGCAAGCCUGAUCCAGCAAUGCCGCGUGCAGGACGAAGGCCUCGGUUGUAACUGCUUUGUACGGUACGAAAGACCUUCUUCUAAUACAGGAGGGUCGAUGACGGUACCGUAAGAAUAAG